rnacentral:rRNA from 1 species
AGAGUUUGAUCCUGGCUCAGAUUGAACGCUGGCGGCAGGCCUAACACAUGCAAGUCGAGCGGAUGAGUGGAGCUUGCUCCAUGAUUCAGCGGCGGACGGGUGAGUAAUGCCUAGGAAUCUGCCUGGUAGUGGGGGACAACGUUUCGAAAGGAACGCUAAUACCGCAUACGUCCUACGGGAGAAAGCAGGGGACCUUCGGGCCUUGCGCUAUCAGAUGAGCCUAGGUCGGAUUAGCUAGUUGGUGAGGUAAAGGCUCACCAAGGCGACGAUCCGUAACUGGUCUGAGAGGAUGAUCAGUCACACUGGAACUGAGACACGGUCCAGACUCCUACGGGAGGCAGCAGUGGGGAAUAUUGGACAAUGGGCGAAAGCCUGAUCCAGCCAUGCCGCGUGUGUGAAGAAGGUCUUCGGAUUGUAAAGCACUUUAAGUUGGGAGGAAGGGCAGUAAGUUAAUACCUUGCUGUUUUGACGUUACCGGCAGAAUAAGCACCGGCUAACUUCGUGCCAGCAGCCGCGGUAAUACGAAGGGUGCAAGCGUUAAUCGGAAUUACUGGGCGUAAAGCGCGCGUAGGUGGUUCGUUAAGUUGGAUGUGAAAGCCCCGGGCUCAACCUGGGAACUGCAUCCAAAACUGGCGAGCUAGAGUAUGGCAGAGGGUGGUGGAAUUUCCUGUGUAGCGGUGAAAUGCGUAGAUAUAGGAAGGAACACCAGU